rnacentral:tRNA from 1 species
CAUUAGAUAGCAGAAAGUAAGCAGUGGAAUUUUAACCCAUUUAUAGUAAUUAACACCUACUUCUAAUGA